rnacentral:rRNA from 1 species
UACAGAGGGUGCAAGCGUUGUCCGGAUUUAUUGGGCGUAAAGAGCUCGUAGGCGGCUCGUUGCGUCGGCUGUGAAAACCCGCAGCUCAACUGUGGGCUUGCAGCUGAUACGGGCGGGCUGGGAUUCGGUAGGGGAGACUGGAAUUCCUGGUGUAGCGGUGAAAUGCGCAGAUAUCAGGAGGAACACCGGUGGCGAAGGCGGGUCUCUGGGCCGAUAUCGACGCUGAGGAGCGAAAGCGUGGGGAGCGAACAGG